AGACGGCGGGCUCUCCCCGCACGGGAGGCGGAAAGGCACUCGCUCGCAAGCUUUUUUUGCUGUUCAGUUGGACAACUCCCUAGCCAUUCUGGAGAUGGACUUGCUUUCCGGGACCUACCUCUUGGCAGUCUUAUUAGCCUGCAUUGUGUUCCAGUCUGGUGCUCAGGAGAAGAAUUAUACAGUGCGAGAGGAGCUGCCAGAAAAUGUCCUAAUUGGCAAUUUGCUUAAAGACCUCAACUUGACUCUGGACCCAGAUGUGCCUCUUUCAUCGCCUCUCCAGUUCAAACUUGUGUACAAGACAGGGGAUGUUCCGCUGGUCCGUGUGGAGGAGAAUACUGGAGAAAUAUUCACCACAGCUAACCGCAUUGAUCGGGAGAAACUUUGUUCUGGCAUUUUUAGUGAGAAUCGUUGUUUUUAUGAGGUGGAAGUUGCUGUCCUGCCUGAUGAAGUUUUCAGACUGGUCAAGAUUCGGUUUCUGAUUGAGGAUAUAAAUGACAACGCCCCUCUUUUUCCAUCAACGGUCAUUAAUAUCUCCAUCCCUGAGAACACGGCUGUCAACUCUCGUUAUUCUGUCCCAUCUGCGAUCGAUCCAGACAUUGGAGUGAACGGCAUUCAGCAUUAUGAACUCCUUAAGCCAAAAACAGCUCCAAAAAGGACAUUUGGAUCCAUUACUAAUGAACAGGGUCAAAAUGUAUUCGGACUCGAUAUAAUUGAGACACCUGAGGGGGACAAGUGGCCACAAUUAAUAGUUCAGCAGAUCCUCGAUAGAGAGCAGAAGGACACAUAUGUUAUGAAGAUUAAAGUGGAAGAUGGUGGGAAUCCUCCACGAUCGAGUACGGCCAUCCUCCAAGUGACUGUCACUGAUGUGAAUGACAACCGGCCAGUGUUCAAGGAGAAUGAUAUUGAAGUCAGUGUUCCUGAAAAUGCCCCCGUGGGCACCUCUGUUUCUCAACUUCAUGCUACUGAUGCUGACCUGGGGUCAAAUGCCCAGAUCCACUUUUAUUUCAGCAGCCAGAUAUCCAACUUAGCCAAAAGGUUGUUUGCCAUUGAUAAUGCCACUGGUCUCAUCACCAUCAAGGAGCCACUGGACCGGGAAGAAUCCCCAGUACACAAGUUAACAGUCGUGGCCAGUGACGGUAGCUCAACACCCUCAAGGGCAACAGUGACCGUGAAUGUCACAGACAUCAAUGAUAACAUCCCAUCAAUAGACACAAGGUACAUUAUCAAUCCAGUGAAUGGGACUGUGCUUUUGUCAGAGAAGGCACCACUCAAUACUAAAAUUGCCCUGAUUACAGUAAUGGAUAAGGAUGCUGACCUCAAUGGUAAAGUUACCUGCUUCACAGAUCAUGAUGUACCAUUCCGGCUAAAGCCUGUGUUUGAUAACCAGUUUCUGUUAGAGACUGCCAUGUACCUGGACUAUGAGGCCACCCGGGAAUAUGCCAUUAAAAUAGUAGCUUCUGAUUCAGGGAAGCCACCUUUGAACCAGUCUGCAAUGCUUCUCAUAAAAAUUAAGGAUGAGAAUGACAACGCCCCAGUGUUUACACAGCCUAUUAUUGGACUUUCUAUCCCUGAGAAUAAUGCCCCAGGCACCCAGCUGACUAAGAUAAGUGCUACAGAUGCAGACAGUGGCCGUAAUGCUGAGAUCAGCUACAUGUUGGGCUUGGACGCGCCUCCCAUUUUCAAUCUGGACCGCCGUACGGGAAUCCUGACAGCAGUAAGGAAGCUGGACAGGGAGAAACAAGACAGAUAUUCGUUCACAGUGCUAGCUAAAGACAAUGGCAUGCCACCCUUGCAGACCAAUGCUACUGUGACUGUAUCGGUGUUGGACCAGAAUGACAACAGCCCAGCUUUCACACACAACGAAUAUAAUUUCUAUGUGCCAGAAAACCUACCCAUGUAUGGCACUGUUGGAUUGAUCACUGUGACAGAUGCAGACUCAGGAGAGAAUGCAGCAGUGACAUUGUCUAUAUUAAAUGGCAAAGAUAAUUUCAUUAUCGAUCCACUCACUGGAGUCAUAAGACCCAACAUUACCUUUGACAGGGAACAGCAAGGAUCUUACACUUUCCAAGUGAAGGCUGUAGACGGAGGAAGAUUGCAACGUUCAUCAACUGCCAAAGUGACAAUCAAUGUGGUUGAUGUAAAUGACAACAGGCCUGUAUUUGUUAUGCCGUCGUCUAACUACUCCUAUGAAUUGGUUCCUACUUCGACUAGCCCAGGCUCUGUGGUUACAAAGGUGUUUGCUGUUGACAAUGAUACAGGAAUGAAUGCAGAGCUUCGCUACAGCAUUAUAGGUGGCAAUUCUAGGGGAUUGUUCAUGAUCGACCAGUUGACAGGCAACAUUACGUUGAAAGAGAAAGUUAUAUCAGCUGAUCAUGGGUUACACAGACUGGUUAUCAAAGUCAAUGAUUUAGGGCAGCCUGAAUCACUCUAUACUAUAGCAUUGAUACAUUUAUUUGUGAAUGAAACAAUCACCAAUGGAUCUUAUGUCCAAGAGUUAGUGCGGCGAAACAUGGAAACACCAGUAGGCCAAAAUGUUGGGGAUGGUGAGAUAACCCCGCAGACCAAUGACUAUGUGAAGAUCAUCAUUGCCAUCAUUGCAGGCACCAUGACAGUAAUAUUGGUCAUCUUUGUGACUGCUCUGGUGCGAUGCCGCCAAACGCCCAGGCACAAGGUUGUCCAGAAAAAUAAACAAAGUGGUGAAUGGGUCUCUCCAAACCAAGAAAACCGUCAGAUCAAGAAGAAGAAGAAGAAGAAAAAGCGUUCCCCAAAAAGCCUUCUUCUGAACUUUGUGACAAUUGAAGAAUCUAAACCUGAUGAUCCUGCCCAUGAACAUAUCAAUGGUACUUUGGACAUUCCUGUAGAGCUAGAGGAACAGACUAUGGGGAAAUACAACUGGGCCACCACACCAACCACUUUUAAACCCGACAGCCCAGACUUAGCGAAGCACUAUAAGUCUGCCUCCCCACAGCCCACUUUUCAAAUUAAACCUGAGACUCCAGUGGCACCGAAGAAGCAUCAUGUCAUUCAGGAACUGCCUCUGGAUAACACCUUUGUGGUGGGCUGUGAUUCACUCUCCAAGUGCUCCUCUAGUAGUUCGGACCCUUACAGUGUCUCCGAAUGUAGUUGUCAAGGAGGCUUCAAGACUCCAGGCUCCAUCCAUACAAGACAGCAUUCAAAAGAACUGGGAAGACCACAGACACAGACACCAUUAAAAGAGACAAGUCUAGAGUCAUGGACUCAGCCCCAGUCACAGCGACGAGUUACGUUUCAUCUGCCAGAUGGGUCUCAGGAAAGUUGCAGUGACAGUGGACUAGGCGACCACGAACCCAGUAGCACUGCAAGUACAUCACACCCUUUACCACUUGGUUUCCCCCAAGAGGAGUACUAUGAACAGACAUCACCCAACAGUCGGACAGAGGGAGAUGGCAAUUCAGAUCCAGAGUCCACGAUCGAAGUGAACCUCCAGAAAGCGCUUGCUGAAGUAUCUGAAACCUGCACACAAGAAUGUCUCAUUCUUGGCCAUUCUGACAACUGCUGGAUGCCUCCUUCGUUGACACAGUACCAGCAAUCUAACCCUCCUUUGCCAGCCUUUGGUUUCCAGCAGGGAUGGGGACGAGGAGCCAUGCCAGAGGGAAGGCACACUCUUGGAAGGUCCCUUCCUAAGGAUGAUACUGACAAAGGUCAAGGGGGUCCUCGGCCUCAGUUCUACAACACCUGUGAAAGACAUUGUGCCACCGAAGAGCCUGUCAAAGUUAUUCCCCUUGCAAACUUCAUUCCUGCUCAGGCCAGACCCGUCUCGGGGAGCAACACCACUUUGAUCCAUGAGCACCAGUUAUAAAAAGGCAUAUCUUGACAAAUUAAGCUAUUUCAGGCUUCAAAGUAUGAGUGUACAUAGUCACAUCUUAACACAAUUUUAAAUUUAUGCAAACCUCUUCAGGUUUGUAAAUAUUUAUGUAUAUAGAAUUCUGAAUUAAAGCUGAGCAGUAGUGCCCUAUGAAUUAAUGGCAGUGCAGACUCAGUAACUAGUAUGCAAAAAAUACCCACCCACUAACAAAAGAUUACAGACAUUGUCAUGGGAAAAAGUACAAUUUGAAGAGAAGGGCUGUCUUCCUCCUUAGAACUGGAUGAAAUUCACACAGUGGCAGUAAAAGAUAGGGGAACUUUCCAACUUUUUCUUUGCUUUCAGGUCAUCUCUUUAUCUUGGGCAUGAUAAAAACAGCAUAAUUGCCACUCACACUGAAUUCUUCAAAAGAUGAUUUAACAAGAACAGUCUUUUGCCUCCAUGACAUUGGUGAGCCCCAAUUUCAUUUUUAAAAAAAACCAACCUCAGACCAGGUCAUAGCAUUUGUUUCCUUUUUUAAAUCUUAUUUUAGAGAUUGUAUGUAGACGGAGUGAGGAUUUAAAACUUAUUUUUUCCCCAUUUUCUUGAUGUUAUUGGGAAAUUUGCCCCUUAUAAGGGGGGGGGGGAGGACUCAACAGCACUAGAUUAGGGAUUUUAGAGAGAGUUGUUUAAAGAAUCCCUAACAACACUGACCUAGUCUGGAUUACUUCCCUCCGUACUCACUUUAGAAUAAAAGGGAGGAAGCAACACUUAGUUACAUGUUAAACAUUUCAUACAGCAGGCAAUGUUAUCCAUAAUCUCCUUAGUUAUAAAGAAUCUCUCCAAAAUAUGCCAUCUUUCUUCCACAUUCAGAUUUUUUUCCCAGUUGCUAGUUCUUUCUGUCCUGCUGCAUGAAAUUUCAUAAAUUCUUCAAAAAUUGAACUAAAAUGUUGACCCAACUGCAUUGCCUAAAUUUUCAGCAUACACAGUGGCACAAUGCAAAGGUACUUUUUUUUGGGGGGGGGAGAGAUGAUAACAAAUUCUUAGUACUAAUAUGGUUGAAUAUAAAGGAAUUUGAACUCAAACUUUUAAAAGUCAACCCAUCAAGGCCCUAGUCACAAAUGGAUUAUCUCAUUUUAUUUCUCUCACAUUUUACCCCCCCCCAAAAAAAAACCUUCUUUUCAUUCCAAAUAUGAAGACAUUUAUGAAUUAUGGAAAAAAAUGAAUUCAUGAUCUUGCACUUCUUUGUGCGAGACCCCAGUUUUCGAUUAUAGAAAAGAGCUUCCACAAGCAGAGAAUGCUUCAUGCUGUAGAUGUAUUUGCUCUGAUUUGUGUAGAGCAAAGGAGAAAAGUAGAAAGGGGCAGAUCUAUUAUGCUCAUUUAUACUUUUUUUGUCAAAAUGAAUAAUUUGAAUGUGUUAAUAUAGUUAUUUUCUCUCUUUUCAUAUCUAUACAUAAAGAUAGGUAGAGAGACAGACAUCCAGAGUUGUGUCUGUGUGGAAAGACAGAGAAUGAUGGUUCUGUUUUUAGCAGAGCCACAGUAAGCAUGAAUAUAUGAGAUAUUUGUCUCAAGCACCUGAAUGGGAGAAAACAGAUGCCUUACUAUCCCAAGUAUGGAGAAGAGCACAUUUGCACAGCCCUAUUCAGUAAUUCCCUACUCAGAUACUAUGAAGCAGCAGCUGAUCUCUGGCCUUUUAGUUGGUACUUUUGACAGCACUACCAUGUGAGCAAGAAUCCAAAUUUCCCAUUUAUAGAAACAGCUGUGUAAACACUGAUGACAAAAGCAAAUCUCUUAAGUGUGAUGGGAACAACUAAGUGAAGUUCAAGUUGAAUUUGAAUUUAAAAUCCAAUUUAAUUUUAAUUCAACUCAGUUUUAACAAAUGAAUACUAAGAACAUAUUGGGUUGUACAAUUUUAUGUUCUUGUCUCAGGUGCAAAAUUAGAAAUUUAUGAUUCUUUUUUUUUAGUCUGUAGUUUUAGUCUUUAGGAGCUUGAAAAGAGCUCUCAAUCACUUUCCCCCCUUUCACCACUCCAAGAAGCUGUGUUCUAAGGAUGGCAUCCUCAACAUGAUAAUUGUCAAUAUAUGUGCUCCAAUUUAGUAGAUUUCACCCUAUAGCUUCAUAUGUAGCACACACUAAACUUAUUAGGAAAAAUGACUCCAAGUGCUUUGGCUCAGUAUAUUUGGAAGCAAAUCACUAAUAUUAAUCUCAAGAACGAGAAGUGGAAAACACAUAUUCACAUUGUAAUUAUGAUAUUCCCCUUGUUAUGCUAUUCCAUAGUAGCUUAAGGUGAUGUACCAGGAAGAUUAAACAUUCAUGACCAAUCUCUAUGUGCUAGCUUUCAUAUAUAGCAUAAUGAAUAAAUUGUGAGUGAAUUCUAUGCCAGAUACAAAGACAUCUUUCUUAGAUAAAACAGUCCUGGUCCUUUUACAUUUUAUUUCUUUGAUUAAUGAAAUCUUGUUGGGGAGAAGAAAAGAAUACAUUAAAUAGUUAACGACAAAAGAAAAGAAUACGUUAAAUAGUUGAUGACAAAAAAUCCUGCAAAAUAAUUCUAUAUAGGUUGAUCAAUGAAAUUUAAAAUUUUGUACUUUAUUAAUAGAGCGUUGUGUGUAGAUUGCUGUAAUAUAAAAAUGCUUGUAAAUUUAUAAAAAUUCACAUUGUCAAGGAUUCCAAUGAAUGCUGAAAGGGCUCCGAUCCCUAUUUGACCAACGGAUAUAAAUAGUUUUACAUAUUGUCAUUCCCACUGACACAUUUUGCUUUAAUGUAUAAAAUAAAAAAAUAAUAAUGGUAAUAGUAGGAGGAAAAGUUUCACUUCAAACUUUACAGUAGUAUUUCCUUCAUAAAGCCUCCAAGCUUAGUCUGUAUCUAAUCCUAGUUUUCAACAACAACAAAAGUUUUAGAUAAGAAGUGGCACACUGGAAUUCAGUUGCUUUAGAUACUCACUGCUUAUUGGAGCACAGCUAAAAUUAUGACAAGCUACUCAAUAUCAGUGAUGUUCAGUGCUGGAAAAUGUUUGAUCCACAAUCAAAAUAUAUAUUUUUGUCACCUAGUAGUGAGUAUUGACAGCAUAUAUGUACCCACCUACCUGCAGUUAACUGUUAAAUAUAAUUAGGAAGGGAAUUUUAGUGAAUUUACCCAACUGUUACUGUGCGAUGCUAUUAACAAAAGUGUACCCAUAUCUUUUGGUGUUCCAUCAUUGGGCAGAAAUCAUGAGAAAGCUUCAGUUUAAAAUGAUUAUUGUAUGCAUGUAAAUGAAUACAGCUAAAAUGUGUAUGUUUGAAAAAAAAUUGUAGAAAUAUUAUUUUAGUUAAAGGGGAAAUUGUUUAAAAUGUGUGCAUUGGGAAAAUGUGUAAUAUGUUACCUUGCAUUAGGAGAUGUGCAUACCAAAAUGGGGAAGAAUAUAUGCUUUAAAUAUAGCCCAAUAUAGACAUUAUGAGAAUGUAGGUAGAAUUUUGAGAAAAAGAAAGAAAAUAAGACUUACAGAUUUUUGCAUUCCUAUCUUUGAUGCUUACCUUUGUUAUUUAAUAUUUGUCAUGUAAACAAUUAUUUAUAGGGCCACCAUAUUUUAAUUUAUUAAAAUCUCUGGUCAGAGACUGAUUUAGGUAGAUCUGAAACUUGCUUCUGAUUCAGAAUCAUCUCUGGAAUUCUGUAGUGACAUUGUGCCCAGAGGUCAAUAGCAGAGCAUGCAGUUUAGCCAGAAGCAGUUCACUCUCAGGAAUACUAAAUUCUUCAAUCUGGAUUUCCAGUUUAUAAUUUCAGUGAGAAAUGGAUGACCGCUGUGUCCAGAGGUUACACUGUGCAAAGUGCCAACAAAUAAAAAUUUCUCACUGGGAUGGAGAUUUUUUUAAAUUCCAGAAUGGAAUUUGUUUCCACAUUAAAUGGUGCAAGGCAGGGGAGGCCUUGUAAUCAUGCUCCUGAAGGCUUCCAGGAAAAUAAUUCACCCUUCUAUUGCUGGAAAAAUAGGGACUGUUUGAGAAUUCAAGCCCCAAAAGCAGCCCAAGAGCCACAUUUUGUCCACCCCUACUCUAGAUUUUCAACAUCCUAGUGAUUUGGUAAACCUCAUUUAGAAACCUACAGUUGAAUCCAAUGUUGCUUGUGACUUAGCAGUUGGCCUACAUUAACUGCUCACUUUAGCUCAGUUUAGUGCUAAAGGCUUGGUCCUAUCCAAAAUUCCCAGCAGAGAUGUGUGCCAUUGUUAUUUAACAAAAUCUGCACCGUUUAUACAAUGAAGCUGUCUCUUAUUGUUAGAGAGGUGUGACAAUAUUCUUAUUAAGUAAUUAUAAGUGAUUGAUAUGCUCAAAUAAAGAUGUGCAGUCUGAGAACCUGAUUAAUAGAUUCUAAUUGUGCACAAUCCACUAGGCAUACAUUUAGGGGAAAACACUUCCUUCAGUGAAAGGCACUUUGGAUCCAAACCAAAGAGGGCACCUGUACAAGUACCAUUGAUCAAUAAAUGGGAAUUCUGCACGAGUAACGCACAGAACUCAUGGCGAGGUUUUUUUUCCUUUUUCCCAGACAAAGCCUGGACUCCAUCAACCUUUGUUCACUGGAUGUAUUUUUUUCACUAUGCAUACAAUGUCUUUUGAAUUAAAGAUGACAGAUCCUUAAAUCAUGAAAAAUUAUUGGUUUGAGAAAAUGGUUUCAGAAACUAGCUUCCUUAUAUCCAUUUGCAUGGAUGAAAUAUUCGACUAUUUUUAACCCACCCAUCAGAGUGAAUCCAAUAGCAAAUUGAGAGUGCUGUCAGGAAAAUCAAUACCAAAAAAUCAUAGUUAAUGUGUUGCAAUGGCCAUAGUUCCUGUUAGAUCCUGCCAGAGUAUAUGAAAAGGAAUUGUAUGACCUUUUAAGCUAUAUAUAGGAAAAUGAUACAAGCCUAAAAUAUCAAAAUAUAUGUUUUAGCAUUUUUAUAACCAAUUAAGCCCAUUUAUGCUAUUCUUUUCUGCCAAUAACCGGGACUCGAACCAACAGUGGUAAAAUUCAAUAAGGACAAGACUAAAACACAAAUCAGGUUAAGAACAGAAUUGAAAACAGGACCACCGAGAUCACUCUCAUCAGUUUAGCAGCUUAGAAAAACUGCAGCUUAAUUGACAAAAGUCUAUCUGAGAAAGAUGUGGACUUUAAAAAAAAAAUUAGUACCAGUCAAUAAAUGUAACCUGUUCAAAUACAUGUCAAAUUAUGUCAAAAACACACAAUAAAAGAACACAGAAUUUUUUAAAAAAAACAAUGAAUUAAUAAACAUCUUUGAACAAGAAGACUUUUCAUAUUGAACAAUUUGAGCAAAUCCUAAGGUUUCUAGUCAGACAAACAUUACAUAACAAAUCACUUGGAAUUUUUGCAAGAGGGGACAAAUUAAGUCAUUCCUUAUUGGUUCAUAGAACUUGCAGUACUUAUUUUAUUUAUUUAUUUAAUUUAUAUGCUGCCCACUCUACCCAGAGUGGAAGGACAUGAGGCAAAAAUUCAGGAGCUUCAACUAUGCAUGCAUGCAUGCUGACCCAUCUGUGCACAUAUGGCAGAUAGCCUCUCAAAUUAUGGAGUUUAAGAUACAGAGAACAGCAGCUGAGGACAUCCUCUCUUGACAAGCAUAUUUGUGAGGAUAGACCAAGAGGAAACUGCCAAAAAUCUUAACACCUUAGCAGGAUGGCAUAUUAUUUUAUUGCUUAGCCAUGUAUCAUAUGAUAUAUCAAAAUAUUCUGAAUUUAAUAUAGCUGUCUCAUUUAAGCCCUUGUAAGUAUGAAUACAAAUUUAUUUAUUUACCAUAAAUGUUAUGUAAUGUUAUUAAUUUUUUCUUUGCAUCCCGGUGUUCUACCGGUGCAAUGUUGAGUCCAAAUUUAGACUGGUCAAUUCAAGUGCUUGAUUCUGCCUCCACCACUUUCCCCUGUGUAAAUUUCAGAGUUGGAUAGGCAGUAAAGUGGUUGGAACAAAUUUAAGGGAAUAACAAAUGUUUUGAUUCUAUUCUGAACUAUUAAAACAGACAUGUCUGCCUACAUGGUCAUUCCUGCUCAAAUUGUUCUACUGGAGACAGAAAACUAUGAGAAUUUCCUCUUUUUCCCCUCAUUUUGAAUUUUUGAAAAAUUUUGCUGAGAAAUAUGUGACCACUGGUGAAUGGUCUAAAAGAAAAGAAAAAUUCUUAAAGAAAAAAUAAUGCCAUUUGUAAAAUUUUAAAACAUAUCUUCCUGGCAUGGUGAAGACCACAUUCUACACAAGUUUUCAAGGGGGUGUUGCAUGAUAAUAAAUUUCUGAGGAAAUCAUCACCAAAAAGGAAGACAUCUGUUCCAAAGGUCACACACACACACACAGACACCCUAGAUAAAAUCAUUGUGUGUGUUUUCUUUGUUUAUUUAUUGUUUUUCCCCUGUGUGAUGAGAUCAUCAAGCGAACAUCCAUGUCUUGAUUGGUUCUUAUGGGAAGAACUGCUAUUUUCCCCCUUAAUAUACAUUUUAUACAAACUUUUAAUAAACCUAGCCUAUACAUGGAGGUGUUAGUUUUUUCAUUAUAUUUAAAAUUUGAUUUUGAAGCUGAAAAGCAUUGCAAGAGAUAAGCAAUGAGACAAAAAUAGAAAAAAAUAUUGUUUCUUCCUGUAAUAAAAAUUUUGUUUAUUUGGCUUUUUCAGAAAACUUUCCAAAAAUGUUUUUAUACAACUAUUUCAUUUAUUCUUACCAUUCAUUAGCUUCCUCUGCAAAUAAACACAACAAACGUAUUUAUUACUUCAGAGGUUAUUCCAGAUAGGAAAAAAAUAGGAAAAUAGGAAUCUAUUUUCAAUAUUUUAACACAGUAUCCCAAGUUAUGGUCUCUGUUAACACAAAUGUGUGACUAAUUUUAAUUAACAAAGGAAAGUUUUCUCAUUAACAAUCUUUGUUUAUUAUGUAUCUAGAAAGUUCUAUGCACUGAAAUUCAUGGAAUCUUUGCUUCAUGUGCAAAUCCAGUUCAUUUCAAAACCUUUCACAGGAACUGUUCACAUCACAUUGUACCCUGGGCUUCUUUAAAAUGAAAUGUUGGAUUUGUGACAAUAAAUAGGUGGAAGGCAAAAUUUACAUUUCGUUAAUCACAGGAAACAAACUGUGUGUAUUAGCCCUAGUUAUGAAAAGAUAAAUGAAAGGAAAAAAACUGUUGUAAAUAUCAGUAUUAGAGUUUGUACUUCAGGGAGAUAUUUUCACUCUGUGAUAUAUUACAGGAUUUGAAAAUGAUUAAGUGUAUUUGUACCGAAGCUGCCCUAAUCCACUCUCUCGAAGUGUGCUGUUGGGCAUCAUAUGCUGUUACGUCCAAUAGCUUUGUAAGUCAAACCCACUGUAGUUCUCUUUCAGGUUAUGUACAGCAUGUUGUCAUGUUAAUUAAGAUGCUUAUUAAUAAAAUUAGAA